rnacentral:rRNA from 1 species
UACAGAGGGUGCGAGCGUUGUCCGGAAUCACUGGGCGUAAAGGGCGCGUAGGCGGCGCGGUAAGCGUGCGGUGAAAGCCCGGGGCUCAACCCCGGGUCGGCCGUGCGGACUGCCGGGCUGGAGCACUGUAGAGGCAGGUGGAAUUCCGGGUGUAGCGGUGGAAUGCGUAGAGAUCGGGAGGAACAUCAGUGGCGAAGGCGGCCAUCUGGGACAACACUGACGCUGAGGCACGGAAAGCGUGGGGAGCAAACAGGG